UCUCUGUGUGCUGACAGUGUGGGCUUCUACCCUACUUAAGCUCAGACCACAUAUAUCAGCUUGAUAUUAUUAGGCAGUGUGCUGAAGACCUGGGCAGUUGGCACUGGGCCCAUGGAUUUGUCCUCUGGCCCUUUGGGGUCAAGCACCAUCUGUGAUGUAAGUGGAUGCUGUGCUGUGGGCACCCUCCUGUAGGAGCAGCCAGGUAGGUCAUCUUGGAAGGUGCCAGCAAGCAAGGUGGUGCAUGGAUCAGAUUCACCUCAGUCCCAUGAUAUCUACAACCCUGCUCUCUCUCAGCCUGGCAGACAGCAGGAGAUGGAUCCCCUCAGUGCAAGAUGCAGAGCCUCGGAGGAUGGGCACCUAUGGUCAGCUACAGCUGCAUAGCACAGUGACAACUUCAGAUUUCCACAAGAGUUUAAGCUGUGCCUCUGCCUGUUCUCCAGGUGGCUCCCCCUGCCAGUUCACAGACGUAUAGGGAUCAUAUGAGUCUAUAAUCAGGAGCUCAGACUAGAUUUAGCUGGGAAAUGCCUUUCAAGGAGAAGGAACCAAAGUGAGAAUCUCAGAGGUCCAUGGCUAGACUGUGUUGCCAUGGGGUUUCUUCACAUAUCCCUUCCUUAAGUCUGGUCUGGAUUUAGGAGCCAGUCCUGGUGCCCAGUGACUUUGAGCAAGCUUCCCAUCUUCCUCUUCAACCACAGUGUCUGCAUUACCUCUGAAUUAAGUUUUCUCUCAAAAGAUCUGUUUAAAAUGUGAUGUUUUACUCAACAUUUUGUUUUCUCUCCUUGGAGUGAGUGUUUCCCAGCUGCAUCUAGUAAGUCAUCCUGUCCUUUUCUUAAUUUUCUAUAUUAGAUUUGUAAAGUAUAUGUAUCUGAGUCUGAAAAUAACAAGUGGGAUAUUUUGUUAAUUUUAUAUUUCAGCUAUAUCUUCUCAUUACAUUGAAGACUUUUUGCCAGAACAGGGCAUGAAAGAUUCAUUCCAAAAAGUGAUACUGAGAAGAUAUGCAAGCUGUGGACUCGAGGAUUUACAUUUAAGGAAAGAUGGGGAAAAUGUGGGUGAGUAUAAGGAUCAAGAAAAAAGUUAUAAUGGACUUAACCAAUGUUUGUCAACUCUACCUAGCAAAAUUUUCCCAUAUAAUAAAUGUGUGAAAGUCUUUAGUAAAUCAUCAAAUCUAAACAGACAAAACAUAAGACAUACUACAGAGAAACUUUUCAAAUGUAUACAAUGUGGCAAAGUCUUUAAAUCUCACUCAGGCCUUUCUUAUCAUAAGAUAAUUCAUACUGAAGAGAAACUCUGCAUAUGUGAGGAAUGUGGCAAAACCUUUAAGUGGUUCUCAUACCUUACUAAACAUAAGAGAAUUCACACUGGAGAGAAACCAUACAAAUGUGAAGAAUGUGGCAAAGCUUUUAACUGGUGCUCGAGUCUUACUAAACAUAAGAGAAUCCAUACCGGUGAGAAACCCUACAAAUGUGAAGAAUGUGGAAAAGCCUUUCACUGGUGUUCGCCCUUUGUUAGACAUAAGAAAAUUCAUACUGGAGAAAAACCAUAUACAUGUGAAGAAUGUGGCAAAGCAUUUAACCGGCACUCACAUCUCACCAAACAUAAGACAAUUCACACUGGAAAGAAACCCUACAAAUGUAAAGAAUGUGGGAAAGCCUUUAACCACUGCUCACUACUUACUGUCCAUGAGAGAACCCAUACGGGAGAGAAACCCUAUAAAUGUGAAGAAUGUGGCAAAGCUUUUAACUCAUCAUCAGUUCUUACUGAACAUAAGGUAAUUCAUAGCAGAGAGAAACCCUAUAAAUGUGAAAAAUGUGACAAAGUCUUUAAGAGGUUCUCAUACCUUACUAAACACAAGAGAAUUCACACUGGAGAGAAACCCUACAAAUGUGAAGAAUGUGGCAAAGCUUUUAACUGGUCCUCAAUCCUUACUGAACAUAAAAGAAUUCAUACUGGAGAGAAACCCUACAACUGUGAAGAAUGUGGAAAAGCCUUUAAUCGGUGCUCACACCUUACUAGACAUAAGAAAAUUCAUACUGCUGUCAAACGCUAUAAAUGUGAAGAAUGUGGCAAAGCUUUUAAACGGUGCUCACAUCUUAAUGAACAUAAGAGAGUUCAAAGAGGAGAGAAAUCCUGCAAGUAUAAAAAAUGUGGGGAAGCUUUUAAUCACUGCUCAAACUUUACUACGUAAGAAUUUUUACUAAAGAGAAAUCCUACAAAUGUAAAGAAUAUGGCAAAGUCCAUAAAUCUUACUCAAGCCAUUGAAAUCACAAGAUAAUUCAUACUGAAGAGAAACACUACAAAUGUGAAGAAUGUGGGGAAAGUCUUCAACUAUUGCUCACAUCUUAUUGCACAUAAGAAAAUUCAUACUGAGAAAAAUUCUGAUUUUAAAGAAUGUGGCAAAGCAUUUAAUAACUACCAUGAGCUUACUCAUCAGAGGUUUUGUGCUAGAUAAAAGCAAUAUAAGUGUAAUGAUACACAUUACAUUUAUCUGUGGAAAGUUGUCACCAAAUAAAAGCCUUAGAGUACACAAGGUGUAAUGAUAGUGAUACAUUACAUUUGCACGUGGAAAGACUUCAAAAAUAAGCCUUAGAGUACACAAGGGUUUUUAUACUGAAGAAAAACAUUACAAAUAUAAAGAUUGGUGCAAUACUUUUACUUAUGUUACAGAUUUUGUUGUACAUAGGAGAGUUUAUGCUGAAAGGUAACCCUCUAACAGUUGCUCAAAUUUUAUUCCAUUUUAGAGAAUUUACAUUGGAAAGAAACCCUACAACUGUAAUGAAUAUGAAAAAAAUUGUUUAAAAAGUACACCUUAGA
rnacentral:sRNA from 1 species